AAGUUGGGGCUCUGUUGGUUUCUUAGUUCACUUUAUCUGAUUUCUCUCUAUAUGUCUCCAAUUUUCGAGAUCUGUGGAUUCUUUUUCUACAUGGUUUCACGGCAUUUUUCUGUUGUUGCUGGGUUUUUUUAUUCAACCAUUAAGAAAAACUUUGACAGAUUUUGGGUGAAUGUAAUCGUUGAGAAGAAGAAAAAAAUGAACCAGCGCUGUUUCUUUUAUUAUCAUAUAGGAAAAGCUUUGAUGAGGGAUUAGAGAUAAGAGGGGAUGAGAAAUCUUGGCCGGCCAACCAUUUACUAAAUGAAAAACUAUUUCUUUUUUGAUGCUAAAAUAAAGUAACAUAUUUAUUUUCAUUUGUAAAUUUCCGUUGCACUUCCUCUAUACGAACUUGGAGAAUUGUAAGUUCUAACUUUCUUUAGUUCUUUGUAGGGGCUGUACGUGAUUGUCUUUACAAGUCGCCUUUGAAAUUAUAACAACAAUUGGUUUAUGAAUUUGGCAGAUACAUUAACAGUUGUGCAUUAAGUGGUGAGAUCCCCUCAACAUUUGCUAAACUUAAAGAACUGCGAACUGUGUAAGAAAGACUCCCUAAUGUUUAUAUAGGAGAUUUCAAGGGAACUCUUUUGAAGGUCCAAUACCAUCCAGUUUAGGAAAUCUAACAGUACAUUAGAGUUCAGCUUGUAUAAUUUGUUUGGAUUCUUUCUGUCUUGAAGCAGAUAUUACUGAAUCUAAGCAGCUUUUGGAUAAGCUUGUUGUGGUGAAGUAUAAUGGAGCUUUGGGAAAGAAUAUGGGUUUCGAUGGUCCCGAAUGGGGGUUGGAGAAUACGAUCAAAGGGAAAACAUCAGAUAUAGUGAUUCCCAGCCAAGCAGUUGCUUCUUAGACACCCAACAUUUUGCAUAACCAAACAUGACCACAACUUUUAAACCUACAUGUUGAGGAUUCACACUCAAGGAGCAAGAAACAUCUCAGCAACUCAUUGGGAUUGAGCAGUCAAAAUUCAGAAUCAAGUGACACACAAGAGCUAGAUUUGGAGCUUGGACUGUCAUUGUAAUCAGUAACUUUUUUUUUUGCUACUUUAAAUGCAUGCUCAUGGAACUACAUUUUAUGCUUUCCUAGAAUUGUAAGUUCAAAUAAGGUGUUGAUCUGCAAUUUAUAGAUUCAACUUGAGCAAGUUGAUAUGAA